AUGAUUCGAGUUAAUCCUCUCGAAGAGGAAUUCGGCGCCUCAAGCGAUUCCGGUGGAGGUGCCUGGAGUCUACUCAGCGAAGAAGUCGCGGCACACAUUGAUGACAGUGUUGUGUCGCUCGCUUCAUUCCAUAAAGAUAACGGAAAGUCGGUGUAUUUUGCGUGCACGGGCAUAAUUAUUGAGAGCAAUUCAACUACUACAAGUUUCUUGACUUCGUUAAGUUUGCUUAGAUCUACUGAUGAUGAUAGCAAGAUCUUUCAAGAUAUGAUGAUUAAAGUGCGCCUUCCAAAUAAUCAUCUUUCCAUGGGAUGGUUGGACUACUAUGACUUAAAAUACAAUGUUGCUGUUAUCAGCAUCGCGCCCUUCCAUGUUUUUCGCGCAGCAUUUCUAGAUCAUCAGCGGCAAUUUGAGCCUCAUAGUGAAGUAGUUGCUGUUGGGCGUUGCUUCGACUCAUGCAAAUUAAUGGCCACAGCUGGGAUGUUGACUGACAAUGGGAAGAGAAUUUACCGCGAGGAGCUUGCCAUCUCCACAUGUGAAAUCACUAUGGAGAACACCCCCGUGCUGCUUAUAAUGGCAUUUGGGAUACAAUAUCCUUGGAUGCUAGAAGAGAUAAGUUUAGGUCUCGUGGUUACCCCUUACCAGUUUUGGAGGACGGCAAAUGGCAAGCGUCUGCGUUAUAGUUUUGAGGAGGAAUUUAGUGAAGAUAUCUGGAACAAAGUCAAGAAAAGAGUAGCUUCAAGUAUGUCUCGAGUUGUUGUUGCACUCGCUUCAUUCAGAGGAGAAGCGAGGCUUUUUGCUUGCACAGGUGUAUUCAUAGACUGCAAUGGGUUCACCACAAGAGUUCUGACCUCGGGAAAUUUGAUUAGAAGUAAUGAAGAUGAAAGCAAGGUUGCUGAUAACUUAAAGAUUGAAGUGCUCCUUCCAGAUAAACGACAUGUCCCAGGGAUGUUGCCACAUUACGAUCUGCAUUAUAAUGUCGCCAUCAUCAUUAUAAAUAAAUUUUGCUGUACACGUACAGCAAUUAUUGACAAUAAGGUGAAAACUGGCACUCAUUCGGAGGUAUUAGCCAUAGGGCGUGUCUAUGAAUCAGGAAAAUUAAUGGCUGCAAGUGGGGUAGCGAUCAACAAAGAAAGUGAACUCGACUGUAAAGAUCUUAGGAUCUCCACUUGUCAAAUCACAAAGGCUGGGAUUGGAGGCCCUCUUAUAGAUUCUAAUGGGAACUUUAUUGGGAUGAACUUCUAUGGCUUGGAAGAAACUCCCUAUACACCACGGGAUACAGUUGUGAAACUCUUGGAGAAUUUUGAUGCAGAAGGGUAUGUUUUCUAUAAUUAUGUUGACCCCCCCUCUCCCCUCCUCUCGCGACCGGCCGCGCGGCGACCUCCUCCUCCUCUAGCCCCCCUCUCCCCUUUCUCCCCACCGCCGUCGCUGGCACCCGCGGCCGGCCUGGCCCCGGGGACGCUGGUGGCGGUGCCCCCUGACCUUCUCCUCCCGGUGGCUCUCCGGCGCGGGGCGGAGCUGCACCGGGGGGUGCUCCUAGGCGGCGGCGGUCUGGCUGGCGGCGGGGUUCCCCGACGCGGCGCGGGCGGGCGGCUGGGCGGCAACGCCGUCAUUGGCGGCGGGGUGGCACAGUUGUGCGACCUGGCGGCGGCGCUCAGCCCAGAUCUGGGCCUGGGCGGGUCUGCGGUGUGA
rnacentral:rRNA from 1 species